rnacentral:lncRNA from 1 species
UUUUUUGCUUGUGAGAGAGGAUUAAAAGUCUAAAAAAGUGAUUACAAGGCAUGGGCAGAUGCUGUGGAGAAAGCGAAGAAGUCUCUUGUUUGGUCCGAAAGUGUUAGUAAUAUGGAUAACUCUUUAAUGAGUUUUUUUUCACUUUAUUAUUUCUUUCUCUCUUUUGUUUUGUUUUUUUUUUUUAAAUGUAAACUUACGAAAUUGACUCAGUGGAUGCCUGGAUGGUUUUCAAAUUUUCAAUUCCUUGGAUUAAUGGUAUUAACUAUUAAGUAGAAAUGACGUGUUUUCAGUAUGACAGUAUCCAUA